GCGGGCGUGGCGAAAUGGCAGACGCGCCAGGUUUAGGUCCUGGUGGGGGAAACCCCGUGGAGGUUCAAGUCCUCUCGCCCGCA
rnacentral:tRNA from 1 species